UGCUGCUGGGCUUUGAGUUUAUUUUUGUGGGGUUUGUUUUUUGGGUAACUGAAAGAAUUGCUGCUGCUGCGCUCCUCUGGCUCCUCUGAUUUGUGGGGUUGUUACAGAGGCUGCUGCUGGGCUCCUGUCGAGCUGCUUUUUCUCUGGGCCCAGAGGGUUCUGAAGGUGCUGCAACCCCCUGUGCUCAGAGCGACAGGUAAGCAAGAUGGAGCUAUGCCCUUUAGCCCAGCUCUGGUGCUGGUAAGUAAGAAGUUGUAAGGAAGGAGUUCAGGGGCUGCUGCUGGAGAGUGCCUUGCACUGAAGGGCUCCUGGUGCUUCCUUGACCGUGGCAGCAGGUUGCUUGGCUCCCACACAGCUUUUUCUGGGCCCAGUAUAGGGCUGCAGCUGGGUUUUUCCCCUCCUCUCUUUUUUGUCUCCCCUGUUUCUCUUGUAGGGGAACUAAUACAUCAUCACCUGAAGUGAUGACUGAGGACAUUAAAGAAGAUGUGGCCAGCAGGAAGAGAGAGGUGAUUGUCUCCCUCUGCUCAGCUCUCGUGAGUGCCCAUCUGGAGUACUGCAUCCAGCACAAGAUAGGCACAGAGCUCACGGAACAUGUCUGGAGGAGGACCGCCUCUCUUGUAAAGAAAGGUUGAGGGAACUGAGAAGGCCAUUCAAUGAUUCUGUGACGAGGGGAGUGGCUGGCCCAGGAAGCACAGGUGAAAGUAAUUCACCUGUGCUUCCCAUGUGACUCAGGGUCUGCCCCUUCCCGAGCUCAUUUAAGGGCUAGCCUCUGCAGGGAGAACAUCUCCUGGAUGAAGGCUGCUUUCUGAGAAGGGAUGUUCUAUAGCUGGAGACCCUCAUUACUUCUCAGGGUCAGGGCUGUAUGAGAGUCACUUCUAAGCCUGGACCUGUGAGGAGUUCCACUGUUGGGCUGUGUCUGAGCAUGUUCUAAGCCUGGACCUGUGAGGAGUUCCACUGUUGGGUGGAUGCUGCUUUGGAUUGGCUCAGCCUGUGAGCAGUCCUGGUAGUCCCAUUGCUACUAGGACUGCUUGUGGAUCCCAGAAUUGUGAAUGUGUUUUUGCUGCAGGUUUGGGACUUCUGUGGUGAGUAGUUCUUUUCCAGGGGUUCCUGUCCUGAAGGUUUUUUUUUUCUCUUUAGGUUUUUGUGCAGCUCUUAAAUGGGAAGAAGAGAGUCAUGUGCCCUUCUGUGAUGGAUCUCUUUAUUUUUGGGUUAAUUGACUGAGGGUGGAAGGCCUUGUUCUGGAAGGAGAACCCACUUCCUUACUUCCUUUAGGGAAGGUUUUGAGCUCCAGUGCCUGGAUGUCUUGGAGAGCUUGUCACAGCCAAAAGACAUACAGAAGAUGAACAAGAUGCAGCACCUCUCCAGCAAUCCCCAAUGAUUGCUGUGGUAGCUUAAUUUUGUGGCACCGAUGUUGAUUAGGUACCAGCAUCAAGCUGUCAAAACCAAAUUAAAAGAAGCUACGGGAAGCUUGACCGGAAGCCCCAUUUAGAAGGAAGGAAGAGAGUAUAUGUGCUCCUUAACUGUCUCGCUUGCUGCUAAUUUUGCUAUGAGACUGUGACUGCUACUGAACAAGAGAUGACACUGGUUAGCAAGCACAAAGCUAUUAUUACUAUUGAUUAAAACCUUGCUACUAUUCUUCCAGCUAGGAAACUAAUACUGAAGAACAGAGCUUGGUGUCAUCAGUGCCUAGCUUGCAGCUGAAACUUUUCUGGAGUCUUGUUAAGAACAGUGCCAGCUGAUGAAUGGAGGCUUAAUGAUUACAAAAUCGUGGUCUGCUCUUCCUAAGGAAAUUUCAGAAACCUACUUGACAGUGGGAGAAUUCCACAGCUGAAAGAACUAUGGGUUGUUAACCAAUGACUUGGGCUGAACCAUCUUAGUGGGCGGACUCUUGAAACCCCUGUCUCUAAUUACUCCAGAAAAUAAACUCAGUCUGGAUGAAUGCCAAACCGCAUUCCUGAGGGGUGAGAAAGGCCCCACAUCUGCUUCUGGUAUAACUGUUUGUAUCUUCACUCUAGGAAAAUUAGGUUUGAAAUAAUCUCAAAUUGUCUGACACCUGUAUCCUAUUAGAAGUGACACAUGGAAACACCUUCAGCAUACUGAAUUUAGCACCAUGUCAACAGCUUAAAGUUCACGGGAAAAAAUGGCAAAAAUCAUUGCUUCCCACUUUUGGUUGAAACAGACCCGGUGUCUUUUCACAGGAUGAUACUGCAAGCUUGGUCCAUAACUGCAGUGGGCUUUGAGCCCCUAAUUACAACAUAGUCUGUGCCCCAGCCAUGGCUGGGGAAUUAAAUCCAGUGAGCACCUUGUGGUGACUGGAGUCAUGCAAUAGACCAAGGCUUGUUGAGACACACCUAAGGGCUGGGUGCCAGCCGGGUGCCAGCCAGCAGCCAGCGCAUGGGCACACAGAAGAUUCAGGGGCAAAGCAAUGCUAUAAUGUGGUGGAAAGUACAACAAACAUAGCAGGUAGGCAAAGUAAGCCUUUGGCUGCAGCAAACAAGGAUGAGCCCAAAUGCAGCAGCCACAGAUACUGUAGACACAAAAAGGAAGAAAGGAAGGAAAGCUGCUUACCUUUGGAAGGCCUCAAGCACACAAGGAUCUCCAACAAGAUCCUCUUGCCUCUGCUGCCAGCCCUUAAAUGAGAUCCAGGAAGGGGUGUAUCCUGGCUCCACCCCUUCCACUCACUCUGGUUCAUUGCAUGCACCUGAGCUCCCCUAGGUUGGCCCUCCCUUCCUACCAGGUGCUCAAUCAGGCUGUGAUUUAGCAAAUCUGUUACAGAGAGCUUCUCUGAAGUUUGGCUGUGAAUCUUGAUUUUUGCAACUCACAGCUUCUUUUUAUGGUGAACAGACAAUAUAUCACUUGUCUCAAGCAGAGGAGUCAGAUUGGCGCUACAGAAGAUAAAUUCUGCCACGGCAUAAAGGUUUGGUCACGUUCAGACACAGAGAAGAACCAAAUGACUUCAGAAGCUGUGCAUCUAGUUUUGCUAUGAUGGCCUGCGCCUCCCUCAGCGCAGACUGCGACACACUUGUAGUGCUUUACUUGAAGCUCCGUGUGGAGCCUCCCAUUUGCAAAUUCCUCUAUUAGGAUAAAUCUGAUGACCUCUCUGCCGGAUAACUCACUGAUAAGAAAACACUAGUUCUGCUGAGUUAGGAGAAAGUGCUUUCUUUCUUUUCAGAUAGCAUUGUUUUGCAGCAGUUCCGCUGAAAAAUCACGAGUACUCCCCAGAGUCAAGAAAACCAGAAAAAUGCUGUUCUUGAUCAUUUUUCCCUCACGUUCCGGCCCUUCGCUGACACCGUGUAAGCAAUCGCUUUCUCAUCACAGUAGUUGUGACAGGCAAAAGGGAUAUUUACAGAAACACAGGCAGGUCACAGAGGUUGUUAAGAGCUCAAAAAUUGCAACUUAACUUUUGGAAGAGUAAGCAAAAGGCCCACAGCAGGGUUUGUAUUUUGUUAGGUGUGGCACAGUACAGAAGGGGGGGGUCCAGUUCCGACAGCACUGAGGCUAUGGAUGGUCAGAGAGGGGCGAAGGAUAACGUGUAAUUUCAGCACACCACUGCAACUACCUUGAUAAAAUGAUCAAGGAAAAUCUUACAAUGCAACCUACAAUACAAUACAACCUAGCUGAGGUGGUGUUUAUUCUGAGAAAACACCUUCAGUGGCACAAGACCCAUUUUGGAUCCUUCAGCUUACAAGAGAAAACUAUGACUAGAUCCCUGCAAGUUUCCCAAGAAAGAAAAUGAGAAAUUGCUGUAAGUGUGUGUGUGCACUGGAGGAAUAGACUCACGGCAGUCUUUUGGAAACAGCCUUCCAAAAAGGAUGUCAGAUAGUAGGAUGCUUUCCCAAAAAGGAUGCUACAAAUCACAUGCUUGAGUUAAGAAAUGACAGCAACAGUCCAAAGGGAACAUACGGGACAGGCAAUAAUACUUCAUUAUGAAUGCUGAUUAGAUGAUUUCUCUUUCUAAACUAUUUUUGCCUCUUAUGAAUAAAUGAGAGAAAACAAGGGUGCCUUGUAAACAGCUGCUUCGGGCCCUUGCAAACCUUCAAAAUGACGAGGUGCCAAUGUGAAUUUAAUAAGCCCGCUCUUCCUGUAUUCUGGUCAGUUCCCAGCUGAGGCUCAACUGGGAUACGGAUGCAGUGUUGCUAUUUGUGACUGCAAAUACUGAUCCCAUCCAGAUAUCUGGAUAAGCCGUCCUCUUCCCUAUGGGCAGCUUGGCUUCUGAGACAGACUUUAGCUGCACACCCCGCUAUCCCUUUAUCCAGACUGAGAGCUCCACAAAGAGCAGAAUUGACAGAUACGCGUUGUGACGGUAAACAUGGGCUGUUGAACUCCAAGCCAAAAUGCCAGCACAGUCGUCCCAUGUAUAUCAGCUACCGCCUUUAUCAUUAUUUCACAUACCUUAAAGACAAGAGACUCUUGCUUCAUAUAGACUUCAGGGAAAAAGAGCUGCCUGCUGGCCUCUAAGCAGCCCAAUUCUUUGUGAAGUGACACUGGCCAAAACAUCUGGGGCACACAGCAGUGUCGUCCUUGGCUGCAUGGGCAGAUUGCAGCAAAGACAUAUGUACAGCAGUGAUAGGUGGUAUCAGAACAUCCUCUGCUUGAAACUUCUCUGAAGGUCAGUGUGAUACUAUUGAAUACAAUAACAUGGAAGAAGCCUCAAUGCUCUUCCCAAGAUGAAUCCCUUUCUCCUGUUUCUAAAGAUUUGCACUUUUGUGUCAUCAGUUGUAGUUGUUUGGCUACACAGUCAUUAAAAGCAAGGACUAGAGGUAAUGGCCUUAAGUUGUGACAGGGGAGGUUCGAGUUGGAUAUCAGGAAAUAUUUUUUCUGAGCAAGAGUGGUGACAAACUGGAACAGGCUGCCCAGAGAGAUGGUGGAGUCACCAUCCCUGGAGUGUUCAAGAAAUGUGGAGAUGUGGCCCUGAGAAACAUGGUCUAGUGCAGUCACAGGCGUGAAUUGGUGACUGGACUAGAUGAUCUGAGCGGUCUUUGCAACCUUAAUGACUCUAUCAUUCUGUAACUAGAGGAACAUGGUGACAAGCAAAAAACAAUGAGCUUCAAGGUAGACAGAUACAACAGACAGACUGUUACACUAGUAGUCCAGUGUCCAUGUGUACCUAAUUGCAGCGUGGGACUCAAAAUCUUAAUGAGAAGUAGAAGGAUGCCAAAAUAAUCUUUUAAGCCAUAAACAGAACUUCGCAGUUAGGUAGACUUCCCCAAAGAAAGGAAUGUUUCCUUUGAAAAUACUUGCUAAUAGCAAGUCCUAUGAAGUUAUAUGUAUCUACAGUUUCUACAGUAUAGGUAUUAUGAAUUUUUUUCUUUCUUUCUUUUUUUUUCCACCCCCACUCUUGGAUAGCUACAGAAGAAAGCUGUGAAUUUGCCUGAUUUGUUGACUAACAGUGUUGCAUUUCUCAAGCCUGGCAGCUGCUCAGGAAACAACAAUGAUGAGCCAGGGUCUUGAUAGCACUCACUUCAGUCCUCAGAAGACUCAUGACAAAGCAGAAGAAGAGAAAUACUAUCAUCUUCACCAUGUCUGAACCUUUCUUUGUUUUUGGCUCAAAGUUAGCUUUCUGAGGCAUUUCUUGCAAUAACGCUCUGACUUACCUAGGAGAUGAGAGGGAGGUGUUGGAGUAUGACAAUCAACAUCAUUUUGUUGACAAUUUCACAUUUGAAAGCAUUUCUUUGGAGCUGAUUGCCUUGGGAAUACUGUGCUCAGGAAUGUUUACUGGCAGAAAAUCUGGCCUGUGACCAAAUAACUCCAGCUUGGUAUGGGAGAUUGGAGAAUGAUAGCAUCGUAUCCUGUGAAAAACAGGAUGCAGGUGGGCACCUCCCUGCUCCCUCUUAUCUGAUGGCAAGGCUCAGAAGAUGGGAACAGAGGAAUUUCUGCUGAGAUCCCAAAGCCAGAAGCUGCCAGUCCAAAGAGAGAGGACUUGACUGCUUUGUAUUUGAGCUGUUACUCCAAAGGGAGCUGACUUGACCACUUUGGACUUAUUUAUAAGUUUGUACAGUCGCCGUCGUUAUUGUCAGCCAAACAACAACUCCCAUUGCUACUGAAGAUCAACGUCUGAACUAUGAGCAAUGCUGGAAUAUGUGAUGGUGACUAUCUCCCUCUUGCUUCGUGUGCCUCCCGGGGGAGGUAAGAAGUUACUUGAGCUUCUGAAUACCUGUACCCCCAUCUCCUUCAGUGUAGAUCUUUCUGCAUAUUGAGAAAUGAGUGACAAUGUAGUCACUAUGAAAAGCAAAAAUGUGUUGUUUGACCUUUUAGAAAGGCGUGGUGUUUGGCCCUCAUUAUCAAGGGUGGACUGGGCAUGACAGAACAGGCAUAACUUGUGGAGUGUUUCAGACCAUAUUAGUGUCCUACAAAAUGAGGCUCGUACCUGAGCCAGAAAAGGAAAACCGUUUAUCUGUGCACUCGGGGCUGCUUUAAAAGCUUCCGUGGAGCUCUGAAUUGAAGAGCAUUUGGCACAAACCCCAAUGAUACAAGCAUUGCAGGAAUCAGUUAAAGUAACACAGGAAUUGGUUAAGACUCUGCAGAAUCAUAUAGUAAGCCUUGAGAGACAAUUAGAAGGUGAGAGACAUGGUACAGCUUUGUUGCAAUUAGCCUUAACAGCUAAGGUGUAAGGGUACCAGUGACACUGUCAUCCAUAGUGCACCUCAGGAAAAAACUUAUCUUCAGGAGGAAUUGAAAGAAUAAAGGCAAGGGUGGAAAAAUCGGAGGUCUCCCCAGCGCACUUGCAUCCUUUGAUAAAAACUGAAUAUACAUUUGAUAACAGUGAUGGUCUAGACUCUGAAAUGAAUGUUAAACAAAUUCCCUUCUCAGCCAUUGAAUUAGCAAAAUUAAAAAAAGAUUUUGUCCGCUCUGCAAAGGAAUCAGAAACAGAAUAUGUAUGGAGGGGUAGCCCCACUGAUGAAGUCCAAAUACUAUUAACUGAAAAGGAAGCUGAAGGAUACUGGGGACCAGGAGUAUUUUUAACUACUGGCAACCGUUGAGCUCCCUGGUCCUUAACACAGAAGGAUGCCUGUUGGGCAGGUGUUCUCAACCCUUCAGAAAGGGGAGACCCUCUUGCUGUUACUGGAACUGUUGAUCAAUUAGUAGAAAGUGUUCAAAAGACCGCUUGUCUCCAAAGGAUGUAUGCUAGAAAGCUGCAGCCGCACCAUGAAUCGUCUGUGAUGAUGCCUGCUGAUCCUGAGAGGAUAACCCCUUUAAUUAGGGAGGCUUCCAGAAUCGUUAAAACCUAUGAGUAUACAACUACAAGGAAAAAUACAGGCUAUGCCUCAAGGAGAAAGAGCCUGGGCAGCCUCUAACCAUCUGCAGUCAGGAUACAAAGCAUGGACGUGGGGGGAGGUUGCCCAAGAGUUAAUAAACUAUGGGAGAAAAUAUGGGCUGGUGGUUUCUUCCACCAGUAAAUUCAAGACAAGGGAAGUGAGGCAUGCCCCCAGACCACCUAGCCUCAAUAGAACAGAAAGAGCCUCACUCCCAGUAAAAACGGGUAGGCGAAACAUUGAUCAUAAACGCAAUGGACUUUGGUUGCUCUGGGCUAGCAAAGGGUAUUCCGUGAGAUUGGAUGGAUGGACUAACAACAGUUAGACUCAAGAAGUUGGUGACUGGAUAGCUGACUGCGCUUGAGGAAAGUCAAGCUUUUGAUAGCUGACUUUAACCCUUUGUGUUUUAUGAGAGAGAAGUUGAAGAUUUGAUCAUGCUGCAACGCUGAAUACUCUUGACCAUAUAUUUUGAUUACAUAUUUUGGUUGCAAUAGUAUUAUGUUUUGGGUUGCUGUGGUUGUGGGUGGUGACUGAUAUCAGUAUUGGGAUCUGUUAAACUUCACACUUGGGUUCAGAGUUUUCACGGGUUAUCCUGGCUUACUAGCAACUCCCUGUAGAGUGAUACCAUUCCUUCUGACUCCUUCUUUCAUCCCUUUUUAUCAUGACUUGCAUGUACCUGCUCUAUGGUGUUUCCAACUUCCUAUCAAACUGGGAAAUGAAGCAAGGGACCCAUCUAAUAUCUGUCAGAUGUGGUCUGAAAAGAAACCCAUCAUAAAGCCCUUUGCGAUAUGAUGUCCAGUGUCAGAAAGUUGUUGAUUUAACACCAGUAGAGGAGUUCCAUCCAAAACAUGGCUGUUGGAAAGUGUCUAAGUUUUGGUAAGAGAUGUGUGUGUUUCUGGGGUUACUGGGAUUUCUGAUGGCUUAUACUGGGGGGUAUCCUACACACACUAUCCUCUGAAAAUUCUAUAGACUAUAAUGAUACUUGAACUUGUCCGACUAGUAACAUAUAUCUCUCAGCACUUGAAUUGCUUUGGAGAUUCUCAAAUGGAAAAUUCUGUUCAUAUUUAACCUUACAGCAACGUGCAGUGUUGCAGUGUGGUGCAGUGAUACCUUCACUCUGCCUAAAUAGAGUGUUAAGUUUUGUUAGCCGCAGGACUGAUAAUCUCUGUGAUAUUAGAAAACAUAUUUGCUCCAUCUACUGCCCUGGCAAAACACCAAGUCGUCUUUGAAAAUGUUACCAGGCAAGUCCAUGUAUUGCCAGGCUGGACUAGAUAUGCUUUUUGAGAAUUAAACUUGCAAGAGCAACGAGUGCUGAAAACGGCAUUGCAAAACCAGUUAGAGCUUGAUAUGUUGUUACUUAAAGACUUGGGUGUCUGCGGCAAAUUGAAUGACUCUAAUUAAUUGUUUCCUAAAAAAAAAAAAAAAAAAAAAAAAAAGGAAUGAAAAUAGUACUUGUUAAAUAAAUUGCCCACAGGUGAAAUGUGUCCUACUAUAUUUAUUGCAACUCUUGUGUUGGUACCUUGUAUGAUUGCAUGUUUUACUCAACUUAUACAAUGUGUUGCACUUUGUAAUCACUUGUUCUGAUGAACAAGUCCAGCAGAUCAUGGCAACAUUUGCAACCAAGCCCACAAAAAACUUUUGUAGUGAUUGUGUAGCGCUUAACUCCUCCUUCGCCCCCUCUUUCCCUUAUGCUUUUUUUUUUUUUUCCUUCUUUUUUUCUUUCCACCAUCCUGGAUGGCCACUUAUGCAUCAGUUUCAUGCAAUCUUCAAGCCACGUGGUGGUGUCUGAAGCCUUUUCUGUUUUUGGCCCAAAGUUUGCUUUCCGAGGCAUUUCUUGUGAGAAGACUCUUUCAUAAGACGUAUUGAAGAACCUCCUCUCCCUCCUAUAAACUGGAGCAAGACACACCACAAACAGAGUAGGAGACAAAAGCCCAGCUUAGAUGCAAUAUAAAUUUUAUGUUGUUGAAGAACAAACUGCCUGCUGUCUCAGUGAAGCCCAGCGUUACUUAAAAUUGUUUAUUAAUGUUUUGGCAUAAGCGGCGAAGAAGGCUGGCCUGCAGGAUGACCUGCUUUUAAUGCUUGUAGAGUAGCCCUGAGGGACAGAAGAAAUUUCACAAAUAUUCAGUGUGUACGCAAAAGCAUCACUGCCUUUAGCAAGUUAUCUACAGCAACUUAAUUCUUAAUUUAGAGCCUGUGGUACAUAUUUUGCUUUUAUCACCACAAAGUCCGUUUAUUGCCUUGUUUAAUCUAAAGAUUAUAACACACUUAAGAAAACAACCUCCCUCAGAAAAACAACCAAAGAACCAACUGACAGGGAGACUGCCAUGUGGUGUCAUGGCUGACAAAUGGGAGAAAUCAGCUCGUGCCAAUUGCUCCGUUGCCACACCGGUGUCAGGCUUGAAUGAGUUGCUGGGGGUUGCUUGUUGGCACUGUGUGCGUUUUUUCAUGCAAGGCUGUGUUGUAAACCUCACUGCUCGUCAAAACGUGAUACAAACUGCUCUUUAUAAAGCUUCUGAAUAAAGCUGUUCUUUCAUAUCGUGCAAGAAGUGACCCAAAGCCUGUUCCAGCAGGAAAACCACGGGCUUGCUGCUUGGAACCUGCCGCCCUUUUUGAAGGGCCCUUCACACAACCAGGUGAUGUGAGACUGCAGCCACAAAAAACUGCUCAGAUGCCCACCCCAGCUUACCCUUCCCCAAUGAUCCUGCUACUGCUGCCCUUUGUACCUGAGAGUGCAUCUCACUCAUGAGCAUGCCACAGCCGCGGACCAGAUGCAUGUGGCUGUGCUGUCCCAACUGCUGCCAUGCGUCUCCCAUUCCCUGGUGACCACAAAAAUCAGCUGCCCUCCAUGGCAAAGGAGCAGGAUGUGCUGCUGCUGACGAUGUGGGGCUGAUGUUGCUGAUGGAUGUGGGACUGGAGUGCAGGAUCUCCCCUGGCCUGAGUUAGACAAAUUGGUUACACAAGUAAGUCCUGCACAAAAAAUGCAUGCCACAUCUUUUCCCUAAAAGGGGAUCCAUUGCAAAUACAGUUGUGUGCUACAGGCAUAUGUUGUGCUGUAUCUCAUACUUCCAGCAGGCUCCUUAGGAUGUGGUAUUGAGUGUUAAUUCUUAGCCAAACGCGUGUUUUCGAAUAUGUUUCCAGAGGACUGGAAAUGUCUGUUUAAAUAGAAAUCCUUUCUUAUUUGGAAAAAUACAAGUGAGAGUAUUGCAGCUAUCUUUCACUGAGAUGCAUAGUGAAUCAUCUGAAUGUGCAUUCUGCAGACAUUUAAACCUACUUAUAUUUUGUAUUAAUACAAAGUAGACUGUCACUUCUAAUUUAUUGUUUUAACAAGAAGUAGACUGCAAAGGUCAAAAUCAUCGUAACUGCUUUAAAAUCAAUUAUUGACGAUUUUUCUCUCCUCUACCAUAUUAACUACCUCAUACAUCAAAACUGCUUUCAACUGCUUUCACAGAUGGUCCAAAUGCACAAAACCACAAUUUAGAAAAAGAACUUUCUACAAGAGUAAAAUCUGCCAAACCAAAGCAAGUUUCCUCAUCACUGGUGCCAUCUUUCUUUCUGAUUUAUGGAAAUGCUAUGCAGUUAAUCUCGCUCAAAAUUCAUCAAAUUGGAAAAAUAAAAGGGUUGUUCUCUCUAUAAAAUGUUUAUGACCACGAAGCAAAGUGCAAGCAGACCAAAGUGCAGCAAUAAAGGAUGUUUUCAACAGCAUUGAAUAA